rnacentral:lncRNA from 1 species
CCGCGGCCCCGGAAGCGGGCGAUGGCGCGGAACGUGCUGUACCCUCUGUACCAGCUGGGCAACCCCCAGCUCCGGGUCUUCCGCACCAACUUCUUCAUCCGGCUGGUGCGGCCCGGCACGGCCCAGCCCGAGGAUACUGUGCAGUUCCGGAUCCCGAUGGAGAUGAGCAGAGUGGACCUCAGGAACUACCUCGAGCGCAUCUACGACGUGCCGGUGGCCGCCGUGCGGACGAGGGUGCAGCAUGGUGGGUCGUGGGGCCGGGCUUCCUCCCCGAGCUCAGCAGGCCAGGCUGCCAGCCUCGCUGGCCUGGCCCCUGUCAGCCCCUCUAGCACGUGGUCCUUUGCAUGUGAGGAAACAGGCCCGCCUCGGGGGAGAGGGGCCCUCCUUCCCAGGGCUGGGACUUGGAGGCCUGGUUCCCGCCGACUCCUCAGAGCAGGGCCCCCGCCUGACGCCCCCACGCUGGCGUCGGUCAGCAAAGUGCUCAUGUUACUCUGCUGGGCUUUUCUCAUUCUUUCCUGUUGACUCCUGCUCCCCAGCCCCUGCUUGCCUAGUUGUAAAUAUGACGACCCUCUGUCAAAGGGAGGUCAGGCUGCAAGAGCCUCCAGGACACCAAGGGAAAGCCGGCUCUCUGGUUGUCUUAGGCCCAUUUGGGUUUGCACUGAGCAGAGGCUGGUGCCCGCCGGGCGUGCGCCUGCCGCCCUUAGACGUGGGUCCCCACGUGUGUCCCUCUUUCUAGAAAGCGGGUUCCUGGGUUAGUGGGGCUGAGAGCUGCAUGCUGGGAGUGAAGGCUUCUGUCUCUCCCGCUUCCGACAGGUUCCAACAGGAGGAGGGAUCACAGGAACGUCAGGAUAAAGCAGCCAGACUAUAAGGUGGCUUACGUGCAGCUGGUGAGCGCUCGGCCCUGCCUGCCCCGGGGUGGGCGGAACCCGGGGCCCAGGCCAGCCCUUGGUUCUGACCCGCACGGAGCCCCUGGAGGAGCUGGGGUGCAGUUCAGCUGGGGUGGAAGGGGCCGGGCAGGCUCUGGGGAACUUUUUGAGGGCCUGCUGAGGGCAGAAGCAGGCUCCCUGGCCUGGGCGUCGGUUCAGACAGUAACCAGCAUCCAGGCCGGGGAGCAGUUGGUGCCUGGGGACUGCAGGGGCCUCCGUCGCCGGGGCAGACCACCGGGGGAGUCCUGGGUCCUGACUGGCCCCCUCUCCCCUGGACUGGACUGUGGGCUCCUGCUCCCCCCUCGACCCCGGCCAGGUUCCCUUCACACGGCCUCCUGCCUGGCAGGGGCUAUGGGAACGGGGUCCAGCACCCCGCUGAGCCUUUGCUGACUGAGACCCACAUUUCCAAAACCCCUGUCUGCCCUUCCUGCCGGCCUGAGCUGCCCGGACAGAGAGCCCCUGGAGUCAGGGUCUGCAGCUGGUGAGACCGAGACCCGCGUUUCCAAAACCCCUCUCCGCCCUUCCUGCCGGCCUGAGCUGCCCAGACAGAGAGCCCCUGGAGUCAGGGUCUGCAGCCUGGCUGCCGGCUCCGAGGC